AUUGAACGCUGGCGGCAGGCCUAACACAUGCAAGUCGAGCGGAUGAAGGGAGCUUGCUCCUGGAUUCAGCGGCGGACGGGUGAGUAAUGCCUAGGAAUCUGCCUGGUAGUGGGGGAUAACGUCCGGAAACGGGCGCUAAUACCGCAUACGUCCUGAGGGAGAAAGUGGGGGAUCUUCGGACCUCACGCUAUCAGAUGAGCCUAGGUCGGAUUAGCUAGUUGGUGGGGUAAAGGCCUACCAAGGCGACGAUCCGUAACUGGUCUGAGAGGAUGAUCAGUCACACUGGAACUGAGAAAAGGUCCAGACUACUACGGGAGGCAGCAGUGGGGAAUAUUGGACAAUGGGCGAAAGCAUGAUCCAGCAAUGCCGCGUGUGGGAAGAAGGUCUUCGGAUUGUAAAGCACUUUAAGUUGGGAGGAAGGGCAGUAAGUUAAUACCUUGCUGUUUUGACGUGACCAACAGAAUAAGCACCGGCUAACUUCGUG
rnacentral:rRNA from 1 species